UACGUAGGUGGCGAGCGUUGUCCGGAUUUACUGGGCGUAAAGAGCGCACAGGCGGUCGUGCAAGUCGCGUGUGAAAGCCCCCGGCUCAACUGGGGAGGGUCACGCGAUACUGCUCGACUCGAAGGCAGGAGAGGGAAGUGGAAUUCCCGGUGUAGUGGUGAAAUGCGUAGAUAUCGGGAGGAACACCAGUGGCGAAGGCGACUUCCUGGCCUGUUCUUGACGCUGAGGCGCGAAAGCUAGGGUAGCAAACGGG
rnacentral:rRNA from 1 species